CGACCGUGAACUUUCAAUUCCGGCCAUCUCGGGUGUCCCACGGAUCCGGCGACAUCUGAUCAUCGGCGGCCACAACCACACAGCCCAAGUCAGCUUCUUCCUCUUUUUCUUUCUCUCUCUAAUACAUUUACUUAUUUAACUAGGUUGUAAUUGGUUUUGGGUAUGGCCGGAAAGCGUCGGCCAUCAGGGGCCACCUGCGGCAAGGAGCGAGGCCACCAGCAGCACUGCAUCGACCAAAUCUCGGAAAGAACGCAGCAGUCUGAGAGCACAAAUAAAGCAGGAGAACAAGGAAACACUUCUCAAGGCUUCUAUUCUUACGCAUUUUUGUAAAUGUACACAUAUAUUUUUCUCUAUUGUUGGUUUAGCAUUUAAUUGGCCGAGCAGAGAAGGCUUUGAUGCCUCCUGCAGAUGGGGCAGAGGUUGUCGACUUUAUCUCUGAUCACUAUGAUUACUGAUAUUAGUUGUAUCUUUUACAUAUGCCGAAAUAAAAUAGAUUUGAGUUUAA